ACAGUAUUUUUACUUAUAUAUAUGUCCGUCUAAUCGAAGAAUUGUUAUCACUUUUGGUUUCCAAAACCUACUGAUAUUCGCACCCGUGCAAUUCGAUUCAAAAGGCGUAACGUUUAAGGUUUGAAGUUUGAGUUUUCAAGAGAAGACCAUUUCAGAAAAAAUGCAAAACUCGAGAUGAGGCUUCUUUGGUUCGUAGUUUAUAGGAGAAAGAAAAAAAACAUUAACUCGCAUGAACCAUUCAGAUUUUCCUCAGCAUGCAAAAUCUUUGUGAACUCUUUUUUAGCGAAACCGUGCUCUUAAGUUUAGGCUGAAACUGAAGAAAAAAGGCAGGCACGAACCCAUGUUGGCAUGAUCAGCGACAGCUUUUAAUGUUAGCUCUCGAACUUAAAGUUUGCUACCUGACGGGACAAGUGUAUAGGCAAUCGGUAGCUUUUUUAAAAUUUUUAGUAGUAUAUAUAGCAUACAAAAAUAAUUGGACACGGUAUACGGAAAGGGUUGGCAACUUCGGCCUAAAAUGUGCCACGUAUCAAAUUUUGACGUAAGGCCGAAAUUUUUGUCUCAAGAUUCAUCAUUUUGAUUUAACGUAUAUAAAUUUUGUUUUUUUUUAAAUAAAGAAUGAAUCUCGAAAAAUUUCUAAUUGAUAUCUGCGUUUAAGGCUUUAAGCAAAGUUGCACAUUAUUUUACCCCAGCACCUGAAAUUAUAUUCUUGUUAUUCAAUUGUUAAUCACCUUCAUUUGAAACAAAGUAAUUUAUCCUUUUAAAAUCAUAUCCACUCAACUAGCCUGUUAUAUUCUUUAACAAUACUUGGAAGUAGCAAUGGAUUUGUGUCACUCUGUCGUACGAUGGUGUUUGUAAACCACAGGAAGAUGCAGAAAGGGAGUCGUAGCAGUGGGAUACUGGUAACAAGCGGUAACAAGUAUUGGUGGUAACUAACAACCGCUAACAACAUCGUAAAUUAGUUUUAAAAAUAAUCAUUAAUCGUGUUGGUUUCCUGGGGAUAAACCCAGUUACCCUACUAAUUCAGGCAUCCGACCAUAAAAUCAAAAACAAAAUCAUUGACGAGCGCGAUAGCACUAUGAAGCCGAAUCACAGUUCUUAACAGGUUUUGGAUUUCAAAAGUUCGAUUAAAAAAUUUGCUGGGAAAACCCAAACCACUUCCUUCGAGCAGACCGGAGCAGACCAUUUUUGGGUGUGCGAUUAACUCUGUCAUAGACACGUGACAUUAACAAACAAGAAUGUACCGUCGAUGAGCAAUCCUCCAAUUUACUAUGGAGGAUUGGCAACUGUUGCAAAACUUGAAUGGCCAUUUUUAGAUGUCUUAUAUAGACUACUACUUACUCUGAAUCAUCUCGUACGACCAGGAUGUAAUACCGUCCAACCCAUGGAAAACGAAUGGAAGUUAACACCAAAUACCUGAACAAUGUCUAUAACUUGUUAUCACAGCUUUGGCUUAACAUCUGGUUUAAGAUUCGAGUUGAUAUUUAGCCUAUCAUUAGGUCUAGUCACGUCUAUGACAUUUUAAUCAGUUUUCAACCCUCCAAUACAAACCUAAUUUGAUGCAUA